UAACUCUAGCAACGGGCACUUGGUUGAGCCGCCAACAUUUUCGCCGGCCGCUUCACUCUCCCAUGUCGUCGAACUAAACCCAGUCAACAACUCAGACAAUUUCAGUUCAUAAGGAGGACAGAGUCAUGAUUGGUGAUCAAGAGGAAAAUAAUGAAAAUAGUUGGAGAGGAAGAUAAUGGAGAUAGUCGAAUUUCUAAGGAAGAAGAAGAACAAAAGAAGGAACCCUUGAAGAAGAAGGAAUGCCUUUUUAAUGGCUAAUUCAAUUAAGUUGAUCCAAUGCUCAAUCAGUCGGUGAUGUUUCCCAAGUCAAUCCAAGGGAAGUAUCCUGGAUGCAGCUCUCAGCACUCAUAGGAUCAGGAUGCUUUUAAAGAGAUUAUACAGCUAACGACCUGAGCGCAGAUGUGCAUCAAAAAGAGAUCUUUUUCAGACAUGUCCCCUCUCCUAACAUUCACUAUUAACCAUGUGAUUGUCUGUUAUUCUCCUUAAACAACACUUCAAAGUAAAUAUGUACAGAAAAAUGCAAGCCUUCUUAGUAAGUAUUAUCGAUGUGAUCUCAUUUACAGAAUUUAGUCUGAGUAUUUUUUUUGAAUUACGAGGGAUUAUUUUUUUAUAUGGAUUUAUUCACUUUUUAGUGUAGGAUAUGCAUGUAGCUGUAGGAUUCAUGAUAUUGCAUUAUAACCUAGCAUCCCCUGUCAAGCCUAUCGCUGAAAGACGAGGGUUCAUUUAUAUUUGGUAGAUUCUAUAAGUAAGAGGCAGGACUUGUUGUAAUAGUUUUUGAGCUUCAUUUUUUCCGUACUCCCACCAGCUUACAAGAAUAUGUUUCAAGGGGAUGCAGCUGCAAGAGAAAGGCACAAAAGCAGAGAAUUUCAUUCAGGAUGAUUAGAAAAAUGACUUUACUGUAUCACUGACCUUUCCUCUUGGUGACAAUCUGUUGGUUCUUUUCUUGAAUCUAUGGAGGAAAGUGUUGCUGGACAUAUUUAUCAGUUAAUAAAUAUUCCUAUCUUUAGCCUUAUGUCAUUCCUAUUAUAGCUUAUUUUGUGAUGCUUGUAUCACUUGCAUGUUAAGGGAACACAGGUUCAUGUUGAUGAAGGUGGCACUACACAAACGCAUGGAGGUGUAUAUUGUUUCAUCUUGCCAGCUAGAUGUAUAUUUCUAUCACCUCCCUGGUUACAGUUUAGUUUCUGUGUGCAACAAAGAUCUUAUCAACAUGAACUAUGAACUUAUUUAUUUAGUUUUUAUCACUUCCCUUGUAAUAUCACUAAAAUGUGUUUUCUAUUUCCGCCCAACACUUAAUAUGUUUAAUGUCACAUCUUUAAUGUUUUGGUAGAACGUUUUGAUACUCAUUAAAAUAUUUAUGGAAAAAGAAAUAGAAGUGUUGUUACCACAGGACAUUUGUAAAGAUUGGUAAUUUUCAGCACGAGUUUCUGAUUUGGGUUCCGCAAAGGAGGUUGAUGUCAAUUCCAAGAGAAUCAAGUCAUGUAGGUCGUACAGAUACAUUGACCCAGGUUAGUAGAUUAAUUUGAGGUAGGUCAUAAGGAAAGUCUUAAGUUCUAAGUAUUUGAUCAUCGAUUCAAAUGUCUUUCGAGUUUUUGAUAUAUUUUUAUAAAAUUAUAUAUGAUUUGUUAACUAAUUCCUAUUUCGACUUGUUUCCAGUUUGAAGAAUUGAAUUUCAAUUUAUUAAUCAAUUUUUUCUAUUCUUGUUGUACUGGUUUAUACGUAUGCAUUUGCCCUGCAAAUUCCUUUUGUAGUGACCAUGUGUAAACCAGACUAGAGAAUCAAAGUGGUAAUUUGGAUGAUUUGUAAUUCAAAUGAAUAUAAUUUGCAGAUCAAGUAUCUUUGACGCCAAGGCUUGAUUUGCUUUGAUCAAGACCUUUGUGAAGCUUGUUUCUUUGUAUGACAAAAAAUGGGCUGGGGGGGGGGGCGCCUGGGUUCCAACCAGGGGUUCGCUUAUGUUUUUACUAGCUCUAAUUGCAACACAUAAGUAGUGGACCUGAUUAAGCACAUUGCAUCGGUCCACUAAUGUGGCAGUUCCAAGUAUGAGUGGACUAAACUUUUUGCAACAUUAUUAUUUUUUGCACUUUUAAAUUGAAUGUUAUUGCCAGUGA